rnacentral:rRNA from 1 species
AGCUUGCUGCUUCGCUGACGAGUGGCGNGACGGGUGAGUAAUGUCUGGGAAACUGCCUGAUGGAGGGGGAUAACUACUGGAAACGGUAGCUAAUACCGCAUAACGUCGCAAGACCAAAGAGGGGGACCUUCGGGCCUCUUGCCAUCGGAUGUGCCCAGAUGGGAUUAGCUAGUAGGUGGGGUAACGGCUCACCUAGGCGACGAUCCCUAGCUGGUCUGAGAGGAUGACCAGCCACACUGGAACUGAGACACGGUCCAGACUCCUACGGGAGGCAGCAGUGGGGAAUAUUGCACAAUGGGCGCAAGCCUGAUGCAGCCAUGCCGCGUGUAUGAAGAAGGCCUUCGGGUUGUAAAGUACUUUCAGCGGGGAGGAAGGGAGUAAAGUUAAUACCUUUGCUCAUUGACGUUACCCGCAGAAGAAGCACCGGCUAACUCCGUGCCAGCAGCCGCGGUAAUACGGAGGGUGCAAGCGUUAAUCGGAAUUACUGGGCGUAAAGCGCACGCAGGCGGUUUGUUAAGUCAGAUGUGAAAUCCCCGGGCUCAACCUGGGAACUGCAUCUGAUACUGGCAAGCUUGAGUCUCGUAGAGGGGGGUAGAAUUCCAGUGUAGCGGUGAAAU